AUGCACGCCCGCCGCACGGAGUCAUCACCAACCUCCUCCACUCCUCUCGCUCCCCACGCCCACGCGAUGCCGCCUAGAUCAGAGGAAUUGGAGGCCGUCGCUCCGCCAUGUUCCGUUCAGGAGCCGAAACAACAAGCACCAAUGGCCGCUCCACAGCCGGCGGCCAACACAAGUGUCGCACUACCCGCAGGGAAGCUCAAGGCCAUCGCCACCGACGUCGGCCGCCCCGGUGCAGGAGGAAACAUGCACGUGCUCGGGCCUCGGGGAAAUUGGCAGCGUCGUCCACGCCCAGGUCUUCGACAGGUAAGAAAAUCAACACAAGGAUCGAAGGCCCAUCCUGUUUUACUUUCUUCCCCUCUUUGUCCAUUCUUCGUGUUGAACUGGAUCCUGUCUUGUUUGCUCCAACAACAAGAUCCAGCUACCGACAGGGAUCAAUCGUCCAAUCAUCAAGAGAACGGCGUAGCUGUUCCUCCAGCAGCGCAGGCAGCCCUGCAGCCAGUAAACAAGAAGGUCCCUGUCAAGGCCGCCGCCUCUUGCUGUUACUCGCAGGGGAUGUUGACAUGCUGGUGUGAAGCAGGUAUGAUUCUUACAUACUGUCGACAAGGGCACGGUGUAUUUCCUGAACUUUUUUUUCAUUAUGUUGAGCUCGGUUUCAACUUCUACCGAGUAGUUGUAACGUACUCUUGCCCCCACGGUCCCAGCACCAUGUUUGCAAUUGUAUUCUUGGUCGCGCGUUGCUCAAUUAGAGCAUGUGGUGCAAUUAUUCGUGACGGUGCUGGUUUCUUUAUUGCGGCCUCUACGGCAAAACUAGAGCAUGUGGGUGAAGUUGAAACAGCUGAGACGGCGGCACUUCUGGAGGGAUUGAAGCUUGCGCUUUUGGUGGGAGCAAACUCACUAGUCGCCUGA
rnacentral:rRNA from 1 species